CUGGAGAAAGAGCUGGAGCAAAAUGGAAGGAUCUGAGGAGAUGAAAUACACACGAGAAAUAGAAAAGUUUCAAAAAGGAGAAGGCAAGGAUGAAGAAAAGUACAUCGAUGUGGUGAUUAAUAAGAACAUGAAGCUGGGACAGAAAGUGUUAAUCCCUGUAAAGCAGUUCCCUAAGUUCAACUUUGUGGGGAAACUUUUGGGUCCCCGUGGCAAUUCUCUGAAGCGUUUACAAGAAGAAACCUUGACCAAAAUGUCCAUCCUUGGGAAAGGUUCCAUGCGAGACAAGGCAAAGGAAGAAGAGUUGAGGAAAAGUGGAGAAGCCAAGUACUUUCACCUCAACGAUGACCUGCAUGUUCUCAUUGAAGUCUUCGCUCCACCAGCAGAAGCAUAUGCCCGGAUGGGACACGCACUGGAAGAAAUCAAAAAGUUCCUCAUUCCUGACUAUAAUGACGAAAUCAGGCAAGCACAGCUCCAAGAAUUAACAUACUUGAACGGUGGUUCAGAAAAUGCAGAUGUACCCAUUGUUCGAGGGAAACCCACCUUGCGUACAAGAGGUGUACCAACCCCAGCAAUAACCAGGGGAAGGGGAGGAGUCACAGCCCGGCCAGUUGGAGUUGGUGUACCACGAGGGACGCCAGCUUCCAGGGGAGUCCUUUCCGCCCGAGGGCCAGUGAGUCGGGGAAGAGGACUUCUCACUCCCAGAGCAAGAGGAGUUCCCCCAACUGGGUACAGACCUCCGCCACCACCCCCAACACAAGAGACCUAUGGAGAUUAUGACUAUGAUGAUGGAUAUGGCACUGCUUAUGAUGAACAGAGUUACGAUUCCUAUGAUAACAGCUAUAGCGCCCCUGCCCAAAGUGGUGCUGAUUACUAUGAUUAUGGACAUGGACUCAGUGAAGAGACAUACGAUUCCUACGGGCAAGAGGACUGGACUAACUCGAGACACAAGGCACCUGCAGCGAGGACCACGAAGGGCGUCUACAGAGACCAGCCCUACGGCAGAUACUGAUUGUACUGUCUGGUGUUGUGAAAUAGCCAGUCUCCACCAGUCCUGUGUACUGUUCAAAGAAAUGUCAGCCAUCUUGGGAAGUCGGAGGAACUGGUUGUGCCCGAGGAGCAAACAAAGGGGCUUUCCUUCGAAUUACGGACUGCUUACGAAUCGUCAACUCACCAACGUGCCUAGUCAGUAAAUGAAUUCACUUGGGAGCUUGAAAAUCAUCUGAAUUUCUUUCCACAAUUUUAUGUCCUGUGAAAUGUUUUAUAAAAUGGUACGCUUUUGAAUUUGGAAAGCCUGUUUAAAAAAAGGAAAGAAAAUCAAUCUUAUUUUGUGGUCUCCUAACAACAACAAACAAAUGAUUUGUGUGAUACUUAAUAAAGACUGCCCAUUUCAACCUCCUGCACUUUGCUAUAAACCUAGAAAAACAAAGUCUUGUUAUUUCAGCAAGCUCUAAAUUUUGCACACUUGAGAACCAUCUAUGGCUUCAACUCACUGCAAGAAGUCCGGAUUCCAUACAUAGUCCAGAUUUGAAAAUGAUUUAUCUGUCUCAGUUAUGGACCAAUAAAUAUGGACGUGUCCCACCAAAAGUAUUCUGUCACAUAAAAGGUUAAUCACGAAGGCUUCUGCAGGAAGCAGAGUGGUACUGCCAGAAAAGAAAGCUGAUUUUCAUGCCUCUCUGUAAUUUGUUAUGGAACAUAAAGGUCAUAAUCCCCGUGGACAGUA